UGAAGGAGGGAGUCAGGACACAGUCUUUCUCUCUCUCAGGAGUGCAGCUAUGGAGAGCAGGCAGCUAGCCGGCUGCUGCGCAGGUCUCUGGGAGCUCGCCUAGGUUCAAGAUGGAAAGGGUUCUGGAGUCAAGUUGUGGACCAGUUUUAUCUUUGUGUGAGACCAUGGACUGGCCCCCGAAUGCCUCUAGUCAGAGUAACUGAAAGCAUGCAUCGUGGGUUGCUCAUGCAUAUGCUGCUGGAGAAAGGAAGUUCAAAGUCACCCUUGG